rnacentral:lncRNA from 1 species
CUGUAUGAAAUUAACCAUACUUUUAAAUAAGGAUAAUUGCCUAUAUACGCCUCAUACGUUUGAAAAUAUUCGAUUUACCCCUUUUUUUUUUUUUCUUUCUAAAAUACCCCUCAUAUGUUCCACCGUUAUUCCAAAAUAUUCCCGUAAUUAUCCCCUGUUAAACUAACUCGGAUUAAACAUGGAUUAAAUGUAUACCAUAGUUAAAACCUAAUUAAAAUACCUAUUUUGCCCAUACUUUAUUAAACUAUUCUCUUAAGUUAUCAUCUCUUUCUCUCAACUUAGCCUCAUUACCCUCAAGCCCGGCGCCGUCGCCUCCGGCAUCCAGUCGCCACCACCGCCAACCUCGGCGCCGGCUCCUCCACCUUCACCUCUGCGCCCAAGAAGCCUCGCCUCAUUCGCACAAAAAAAAACGGCUCGCCCGAGGCCGUCUGCGUGCUAUCCGCCCGAGGCCGUUCGCAUGCCUGGAGCAAGAGGGCGCGGUGUUGCGCGCGGAGGGCUGAAAUGGCGCAGUGUUGUGCGCGGAGGGCAGCAGCGGGUUUGCGCAGUCCACGAGGCUAGUUUGGCCUCAUGGACCGAAUGCGGUGGACCUCCCUCUCAUUAUAUAUAUAUAUAUAUAUAUAUAUAUAUAUAUAUAUAUAUAUAUAUAUAUAUAUAUAUAUAUAUAUAUAUAUAUAUAAUUUCAUUUAUAAAUAUAUAUUCAUCAUAGUAUUUAUUUAAUAGAAAUAUAUGUAUAUUAAUAUUUUAAUUUAUAAUUUAUAAAUAUUUAUUAAUAUUUUUAAAUAUAUAACUCUUAUAUAUUAUUAAUAUAUGUUUAUUAUAAUUUAAAUAUAUUUAAUCUAUAUAUAUAAAUUAUAAUAAUAAUAUAUAUAGUAUAUUAAUUAUUAUAUAGCUGAAUUUUUUAUCCCGAAUUUUUAAUUGGUGAAUGUAUAAUACCCGUAUAAAUCACGUAUCCGAAUAAUUGCCGAAUUCGUUUUCUAGCCGUAUUUUUCAACGAAUUUAAAAAUUAAAAGACGAAUUAUAUCCGUACCGAAUUUUUCCCGAAUCCGAAUUAACUAACUAUACCUCCAGUCACCAAUGUUGGUUUAGCUGCGAUUGAUCUCAUCCGUUCAUCUGCUCGCUCCCGACGUGCUUAAUUAAUUAAUUGAUAUUUGAAGAGCAAAUAAGAAAAGCAUUUGCUCUAUGAAAGGUAUAUAAGAAAAGUUAGUUACGGUAUAAGGGUAUAUUGGAAUUGGCAAAAUGAUAAUUUUUCAAAGAUAACGGCAACUGUUAACAUCUCACUAACGGAAUUUAACUCUAGGGGUAUAUUAGAAAAAACUUGGAACAUAAGAAAGGUAUUUUCAAUAUUAGCUUUCUAAGAGGGGUAAAUAAGAAAACCGGAAACUUUUUAUGGGUAUAUAGGCAAUUGCCCCUUUUCAAUAUAUCCCUCUGAUUUAUUACCAUUAGAAAAUUAUUUAUAUUUUAAUAGCAAAUAAGUAAAAUGUCAAUUUUGACAUCAUCAAUAUAUCUCUCCAAAAGCCGCAAUAGUUAUAAUUAUGCAAAAAUGUCCUCCCAACAAAUUUUCGGUGACCAUUUUCUUCCUCAUUUUUUUCUUUUUUAAAAUCCAACCCAUUCCACCAUUGUUGCAACCUCUUUUCUCACACCUUUUUUCAUAAACUUUUUUUCUUGCGCAAAACAAAAAAAGAAAAGGAAAUUGAAUGGGAAAACAACACGCGUUUGAUAUGGGUAAAGCAACAUGCGUCGUGAAUAAAUAAAGAUGAAGAAAUUCAAGUUAUGGGUUCAAAACUUACAUGAAGGAGAGAGAGGAAAAGAAAGAGGAAAAGGAAGAAAAAGAAGAGUUCUCAUUGCUAGUGUUUUGAUUAAGAGAAAAUGUAUAAUAUAAAAGGGAUAAAAUUAUGGAGUUAUCUGAUAAACUAAUUAGGGUUAAGUAUUUAACCUAUAAUUAACUAAAUUUUUCUAACAGAUUCUAACGGUAUGAACAU